AAGACUAUAGACCUGCGGAGUACCUGCGGAGGGAUCAUUAGUGAAUGGCCUUUUUGGCCUUCAAACCCUUCAAACCUGUGGAAGAGAAAAUGUGCUUCGGCGCCCAUGGGCGCCGCCCUUAAUGCAAACCUCAGUCUUGUGUCUGAAGUAUAUUUAAAGGUUAAAACUUUUAACAACGGAUCUCU
rnacentral:misc_RNA from 1 species